ACAGCAGUCGCCGCGGUAAUACGAAGGGGGCUAGCGUUGUUCGGAUUUACUGGGCGUAAAGCGCACGUAGGCGGAUCGAUCAGUCAGGGGUGAAAUCCCAGAGCUCAACUCUGGAACUGCCUUUGAUACUGUCGAUCUGGAGUAUGGAAGAGGUGAGUGGAAUUCCGAGUGUAGAGGUGAAAUUCGUAGAUAUUCGGAGGAACACCAGUGGCGAAGGCGGCUCACUGGUCCAUUACUGACGCUGAGGUGCGAAAGCGUGGGGAGCAAACAGGAUUAGAUACCCGCGUAGUCCCUGUCUCUUAUAA
rnacentral:rRNA from 1 species